AUUGAGCGCUGGCGGAAUGCUUUACACAUGCAAGUCGAGCGGCAGCGCGGCCUUCGGGCUGGCGGCGAGCGGCGAACGGGUGAGUAAUGCAUCGGAACAUGCCCAGUCGUGGGGGAUAACACUUCGAAAGAAGUGCUAAUACCGUAUACGUCCUGAGGGGGAAAGCGGGGGAUCGCAAGACCUCGCGCGAUUGGAGUGGCCGAUGCCAGAUUAGCUAGUUGGUGGGGUAAAGGCCUACCAAGGCGACGAUCUGUAGCUGGUCUGAGAGGAUGAUCAGCCACACUGGGACUGAGACACGGCCCAGACUCCUACGGGAGGCAGCAGUGGGGAAUUUUGGACAAUGGGGGCAACCCUGAUCCAGCCAUUCCGCGUGAGUGAAGAAGGCCUUCGGGUUGUAAAGCUCUUUCGGCAGGAACGAAACGGUGGGCUCUAACAUAGUCCGCUAAUGACGGUACCUGAAGAAGAAGCACCGGCUAACUACGUG
rnacentral:rRNA from 1 species